AUUGAACGCUGGCGGCAGGCCUAACACAUGCAAGUCGAGCGGUAGAGAGAAGCUUGCUUCUCUUGAGAGCGGCGGACGGGUGAGUAAUGCCUAGGAAUCUGCCAGAUAGUGGGGGAUAACGUCCGGAAACGGACGCUAAUACCGCAUACGUCCUACGGGAGAAAGUGGGGGCUCUUCGGACCUCACGCUAUCAGAUGAGCCCAGGUCGGAUUAGCUAGUUGGUGGGGUAAAGGCUCACCAAGGCGACGAUCCGUAACUGGUCUGAGAGGAUGAUCAGUCACACUGGAACUGAGACACGGUCCAGACUCCUACGGGAGGCAGCAGUGGGGAAUAUUGGACAAUGGGCGAAAGCCUGAUCCAGCCAUGCCGCGUGUGUGAAGAAGGUCUUCGGAUUGUAAAGCACUUUAAGUUGGGAGGAAGGGUCGUUACCUAAUACGUGGCGAUUUUGACGUUACCGACAGAAUAAGCACCGGCUAACUCUGUGCCAGCAGCCGCCGUAAGAC
rnacentral:rRNA from 1 species